GCCCCGGUGGCGGAACUGGUAGACGCAACGGACUUAAAAUCCGUUGGCCGUAAGGCCGUGCCGGUUCGAUUCCGGCCCGGGGCACCA
rnacentral:tRNA from 1 species